UAUUAGAUAUAUUCUUUAAAUUUAAAGAAUUUGGCGGUAAAUUAAUUUUUCAGAGGAACUUGUUAUGUAAUUGAUAUUACACAAUACAUCUUCCCUUAUUUUUUAAUAAGUUUGUAUAUCGUCGUUUAGAAUAUUUUUAUUGAAUAAAUUUUCUAUUAAUAAUAUUAUUAAAAAAUCAGAUUUUGAUGCAGCAUAUAAUAAGGAUUUAAAUGAGUUACAUUUUAGUUAAUAAAUUAUGAAUAAAUUUAAGAAUUUAUAUUUUGAAGGAGGAUUUGAAAGUAAUAAUAUAUUAAUAAGUUGUUAUGAAUUUUUUAUUCUAAUUUAUGU
rnacentral:rRNA from 1 species